rnacentral:tRNA from 1 species
GCCUGAAUGGCUCAGUCGGUAGAGCGUCCAACUUAGGCUCAGGUCAUGAUCUCACAGUUCGUGGGUUCAAGCCCCAAGUCAGGCU